CCUACGGGCGGCAGCAGUGGGGAAUAUUGGGCAAUGGACGCAAGUCUGACCCAGCAACGCCGCGUGAAGGAAGAAGGCUUUCGGGUUGUAACCUUCUUUUAAGGGGGAAGCGCAGAAGACGGUACCCCUUGAAUAAGCCCCGGCUACCUACGUGCCAGCAGCCGCGGUAAUACGGAGGUGGCAAGCGUUGUCCGGAUUUAUUGGGUGUAAAGGGCGUGCAGGCGGAGAUACAAGUCAGAUGUGAAGUCCACGGGCUCAACGCGUGAACUGCAUUUGAAACUGUUUCCCUUGAGUGUCGGAGAGGGAAUCGGAAUUCCUUGUGUAGCGGGGAAAUGCGGAGAUAUAAGGAAGAACACCAGUGGUGAAGGCGGAUUACUGGACGAUAACUGACGGUGAGGCGCGAAAGCGUGGGGAGCAAACAGGAUUAGAUACCCUGGUAGUC
rnacentral:rRNA from 1 species